AAAAUAGCAAAAUAAACCUCAAAAGCUCUCAAAUUGAAGUCUUCAAUUUCAUGAUCACUAGCUCAAUCAAAGAAGUAGAAUACAAGGGUAAUUUCUCUAUAAUUUACAAUUACUGAAGUGGAUAGCUCGUCACUGUUGUAGGGAGCCCUCUCCUGUUAUUCCUUCCUUACGACAAAAGGAAAUGGUGUUUUUGAAGGACUGA
rnacentral:misc_RNA from 1 species